rnacentral:rRNA from 1 species
AGUAAACGCUGGCGGUAGGCCUAACACAUGCAAGUCGAACGGCAGCACAGUAAGAGCUUGCUCUUACGGGUGGCGAGUGGCGGACGGGUGAGGAAUACAUCGGAAUCUACUUUUUCGUGGGGGAUAACGUAGGGAAACUUACGCUAAUACCGCAUACGACCUACGGGUGAAAGCAGGGGAUCUUCGGACCUUGCGCGAUUGAAUGAGCCGAUGUCGGAUUAGCUAGUUGGCGGGGUAAAGGCCCACCAAGGCGACGAUCCGUAGCUGGUCUGAGAGGAUGAUCAGCCACACUGGAACUGAGACACGGUCCAGACUCCUACGGGAGGCAGCAGUGGGGAAUAGUGGACAAUGGGCGCAAGCCUGAUCCAGCCAUACCGCGUGGGUGAAGAAGGCCUUCGGGUUGUAAAGCCCUUUUGUUGGGAAAGAAAAGCAGCAGGUUAAUACCCCGCUGUUCUGACGGUACCCAAAGAAUAAGCACCGGCUAACUUCG